UACAGAGGUCCCCAAGCGUUGUUCGGAUUCACUGGGCGUAAAGGGUGCGUAGGCGGUCGGGUAAGUCUGAUGUGAAAUCUCACAGCUUAACUGUGAAACUGCAUUGGAUACUAUUCGGCUUGAGAGUUGGAGGGGGGACUGGAAUUCUUGGUGUAGCAGUGAAAUGCGUAGAUAUCAAGAGGAACACCAGUGGCGAAGGCGAGUCCCUGGACAACUUCUGACGCUGAGGCACGAAAGCUAGGGGAGCAAACAGG
rnacentral:rRNA from 1 species